rnacentral:rRNA from 1 species
GACGAACGCUGGCGGCGUGCUUAACACAUGCAAGUCGAGCGGUAAGGCCCUUUCGGGGGUACACGAGCGGCGAACGGGUGAGUAACACGUGGGUGACCUGCCCUUAGCUCUGGGAUAAGCCUGGGAAACUGGGUCUAAUACCGGAUAUGACUCCAUGACGCAUGUUGUGGGGUGGAAAGCCUUGUGCGGCUAGGGAUGGGCCCGCGGCCUAUCAGCUUGUUGGUGGGGUGAUGGCCUACCAAGGCGACGACGGGUAGCCGGCCUGAGAGGGCGACCGGCCACACUGGGACUGGGACACGGCCCAGACUCCUACGGGAGGCAGCAGUGGGGAAUCUUGCGCAAUGGGCGAAAGCCUGACGCAGCGACGCCGCGUGGGGAUGACGGCCUCGGUUGUAA